GAUGAACGCUGGCGGCGUGCCUAAUACAUGCCAGUCGAGCGAACAGACGAUGAGCUUGCUCCUCUCACGUUAGCCGCGGACGUGUGAGUAACACGUGUAUCACCUACUUAUAAGUCUGGGAUCUCCUCGGGAAACCGGAUCUAAUACCGGAUAAUAUCUUGCUCCGCAUGGUUCAAUAGAGAAAGACGGUUUUGCUGUCACUUCUAGAUGGUUCCGCGCCGCAUUAGCUAGUUGGUAAGGUCACGGCUUACCAAGGCGACGAUGCGUAGCCGACCUGAGAGGGGGAUCGGCCACACUGGAGCGGAGACAGGGUCAAGACGACUACGGGAGGCAGCAGUAGGGUAUCUGAGGCAAUAGGCGAAAGCAUGACGGAGCAACGGCGCGUCAGUGAUGAAGAUGUUCGGAGCGUAAAAAUCUGUUAUGAGGGAAAAACAACUGUGUAAGGAAAUAUGCACGGAUUGACGGUACCUAAUCAGAAAGCCACGGCUAACUACGUG
rnacentral:rRNA from 1 species